UACAGAGGUCUCAAGCGUUGUUCGGAUUCAUUGGGCGUAAAGGGUGCGUAGGUGGCGAGGUAAGUCGGAUGUGAAAUCUCAGGGCUCAACCCUGAAACUGCAUUCGAUACUGCCUUGCUCGAGGACUGGAGAGGAGAUUGGAAUUCACGGUGUAGCAGUGAAAUGCGUAGAGUAUCGUGAGGAAGACCAGUGGCGAAGGCGGAUCUCUGGA
rnacentral:rRNA from 1 species